rnacentral:rRNA from 1 species
CAGGCUUAACACAUGCAAGUCGAGGGGCAGCAUGGUCUUAGCUUGCUAAGGCCGAUGGCGACCGGCGCACGGGUGAGUAACACGUAUCCAACCUGCCGUCUACUCUUGGACAGCCUUCUGAAAGGAAGAUUAAUACAAGAUGGCAUCAUGAGUCCGCAUGUUCACAUGAUUAAAGGUAUUCCGGUAGACGAUGGGGAUGCGUUCCAUUAGAUAGUAGGCGGGGUAACGGCCCACCUAGUCUUCGAUGGAUAGGGGUUCUGAGAGGAAGGUCCCCCACAUUGGAACUGAGACACGGUCCAAACUCCUACGGGAGGCAGCAGUGAGGAAUAUUGGUCAAUGGGCGAGAGCCUGAACCAGCCAAGUAGCGUGAAGGAUGACUGCCCUAUGGGUUGUAAACUUCUUUUAUAAAGGAAUAAAGUCGGGUAUGCAUACCCGUUUGCAUGUACUUUAUGAAUAAGGAUCGGCUAACUCCGUGCCAGCAGCCGCGGUAAUACGGAGGAUCCGAGCGUUAUCCGGAUUUAUUGGGUUUAAAGGGAGCGUAGAUGGAUGUUUAAGUCAGUUGUGAAAGUUUGCGGCUCAACCGUAAAAUUGCAGUUGAUACUGGAUAUCUUGAGUGCAGUUGAGGCAGGCGGAAUUCGUGGUGUAGCGGUGAAAUGCUUAGAUAUCACGAAGAACUCCGAUUGCGAAGGCAGCCUGCUAAGCUGCAACUGACAUUGAGGCUCGAAAGUGUGGGUAUCAAACAGGAUUAGAUACCCUGGUAGUCCACACGGUAAACGAUGAAUACUCGCUGUUUGCGAUAUACGGCAAGCGGCCAAGCGAAAGCGUUAAGUAUUCCACCUGGGGAGUACGCCGGCAACGGUGAAACUCAAAGGAAUUGACGGGGGCCCGCACAAGCGGAGGAACAUGUGGUUUAAUUCGAUGAUACGCGAGGAACCUUACCCGGGCUUAAAUUGCAGAUGAAUUACGGUGAAAGCCGUAAGCCGCAAGGCAUCUGUGAAGGUGCUGCAUGGUUGUCGUCAGCUCGUGCCGUGAGGUGUCGGCUUAAGUGCCAUAACGAGCGCAACCCUUGUUGUCAGUUACUAACAGGUUCCGCUGAGGACUCUGACAAGACUGCCAUCGUAAGAUGUGAGGAAGGUGGGGAUGACGUCAAAUCAGCACGGCCCUUACGUCCGGGGCUACACACGUGUUACAAUGGGGGGUACAGAGGGCCGCUACCACGCGAGUGGAUGCCAAUCCCCAAAACCUCUCUCAGUUCGGACUGGAGUCUGCAACCCGACUCCACGAAGCUGGAUUCGCUAGUAAUCGCGCAUCAGCCACGGCGCGGUGAAUACGUUCCCGGGCCUUGUACACACCGCCCGUCAAGCCAUGGGAGCCGGGGGUACCUGAAGUGCGUAACCGCGAGGAGCGCCCUAGGGUAAAACUGGUGACUGGGGCUAAGU